UCANCCAUAGUGUGCUCUGGAAACUNUCUGACUUGAGUGCAGAAGGGGAGAGUGGAAUUCCAUGCGUAGCGGUGAAAUGCGUAGAUAUAUGGAGGAACACCAGUGGCGAAAGCGGCUCUCUGGUCUGUCACUGACGCUGAGGCUCGAAAGCGUGGGUAGCGAACAGGAUUAGAUACCCUGGUAGUCCACGCCGUAAACGAUGAGUGCUAGGUGUUAGGCCCUUUCCGGGGCUUAGUGCCGGAGCUAACGCAAUAAGCACUCCGCCUGGGGAGUACGACCGCAAGGUUGAAACUCAAAGGAAUUGACGGGGGCCCGCACAAGCGGUGGAGCAUGUGGUUUAAUUCGAAGCAACGCGAAGAACCUUACCAGGUCUUGACAUCCCGAUGCUAUUCUUAGAGAUAGGAAGUUACUUCGGUACAUCGGAGACAGGUGGUGCAUGGUUGUCGUCAGCUCGUGUCGUGAGAUGUUGGGUUAAGUCCCGCAACGAGCGCAACCCUUAUUGUUAGUUGCCAUCAUUAAGUUGGGCACUCUAGCGAGACUGCCGGUAAUAAACCGGAGGAAGGUGGGGAUGACGUCAAAUCAUCAUGCCCCUUAUGACCUGGGCUACACACGUGCUACAAUGGUCGGUACAACGAGUUGCGAGCCGGUGACGGCAAGCUAAUCUCUGAAAGCCGAUCUCAGUUCGGAUUGGAGGCUGCAACUCGCCUCCAUGAAGUCGGAAUCGCUAGUAAUCGCGGAUCAGCACGCCGCGGUGAAUACGUUCCCGGGCCUUGUACACACCGCCCGUCACACCACGAGAGUUUGUAACACCCGAAGUCGGUGAGGUAACCUUUUAGGGGCCAGCCGC
rnacentral:rRNA from 1 species